GACGAACGCUGGCGGCGUGCUUAACACAUGCAAGUCGAACGGAAAGGCCCUGCUUGCAGGGUACUCGAGUGUCGAACGGGUGAGUAACACGUUGGUGAUCUGCCCUUCACUUCUUGUUAAGCCUGGUAAACUGUGUCUACUACCGGAUAUGAGCCAUUUUUAUUUUUUUUGUUGGAAAGUUUUUUGGGUGUGGUAUGAGCUCGCGGCCUAUCAGCUUGUUGGUGGGGUAAUGGCCUACCAAGGCGGCGACGGGUAGCCGGCCUGAGAGGGUGGACGGCCAAAAAGGGAAUGAGAUAAGGCCCAGAAUGCUACGGGGGGAAGAAGUGGGGAAAAUUGAAAAAUGGGAGCAAGGCUGAUGCAGAGACGCCGCGUGGGGGAUGACGGGCUUCGGGUUGUAAAAAAAAAUCGAUAGGGAAGAAGCAUUUUGUGACGGUAACUAGAUAAGAAGCACCGGCUAACUACGUG
rnacentral:rRNA from 1 species